rnacentral:tRNA from 1 species
AAGAAUCUAGUUUAUAAAACAUUAAUUUGUCAAUUUAAAAAAACCUUAUUAGGUGUUUCUUU